AGAAAAAGAAAAUUUUAAAGUUGUACCUUUUGUAUCAGGGGGGUUUAAAAGGACAAACAGCUAUAAAUCGAGUCAGACUGAUCUUCUUUUUUGUGUUUAGUUGGAUUUAGAUAGGAAAAAAAUUAAGUGGUGAAAAAUUUUCGAUGUUUGUGGUAUCUAUUUGUUUUAAAUUUUAAGGGGUUAAGUUCUUAAAGUAUUUAUGAUGCGUAAAAAAUUGAAAAAACUAAGCUUUAGAUUAGCUAUGUUAGUAUGUUGUUUUAAGAUAUUUUUGUACAAAAAAUUAGUUGUAAAAUUAAAUAAACAAUUUUUAUAAGCAUUUGUUAGUAUUAGUAAUGAAUUUAUUGAAUAUUGAGAGGAGUCUUAAAAUAACUCAGAGUAAGUGAGAAAGUUUAACAAAAACAUUUUUAUUUGCGUAGGAGAUAGUAUGGCCUGCCCGGUGAUAGUUUAACGGCUGCGGUAUAUUGACUGUGCUAAGGUAGCAUAAUCAUUUGCUAUUUAAUUGGUAGCUGGAAUGAAAGGUUUAACUAACUUACUAGGUUUGUAGGCUAGUAGAUAAAUUAAAGUCAAGGUAAGAAUUCUUUGAUAGGUUAGGGGACGAUAAGACCCUAGAAGCUUAACAAUAAGUUUGCUUAUUAGUGCUUAAGUGUAGUAUGUUUUACUGGGGCGGUUGAUGUAUUUUAACUAUCUAAAUUUUGAAUGAUCCUUAAUAUAAAGAUACAGCGGGUAAGUUACUCUAGGGGUAACAGUGCAAUAUUUUUGGAGAGAUCUUAUCGAUAUAGAUGUUUGCAACCUCGAUGUUGAAUUAAAAUGUCUACGUGAAGCAGAAAGUAUAGUAGAGGGUUUGUUCAACC
rnacentral:rRNA from 1 species